AAGCCGUUUUCCUGCGAUGAAAACGUAUUCUUAGAAAGACGAGUUCUGUUUAAACUUCCAGGAACCUGUUUGUAGAAAUAUUUUUACAGAUUAGUCCUUGAGCUUUAAACGUCCGUAUCUUUUCAACCGUAGCUCCAAAUCGGGUGAUUCCAAAGCCCACGUCUUCGUUUCGUCGAGCCCGUUCUGAUGGAUUCAUUUUCACCAUGUUUGCACAUUCUAAAAAUGACCAUUUUGCCCUUGCCGUAAACAGCCCCUCCCCCCGAGAGAGAACUAUUCCCGACAAAUCUUCUCGCGAUCGUUUCACACUUCUUCCCGGAGUAUUUGUCGACCCCCAGGCAAGCCAACCUCUUAUCAUGAGCUCCGAACUUGCAUGUUGACUUUGCUUGCACCUUGUGUGUGUGUAGUUGCAGUUGUUUACUAUCGUUUUUGUUUGUAGUCAUUUCAUUAUGCCUAUCAUGCAUGCGUGUGUUUUCAUGAUAUCUUUUGCCAUGCUAAUUAAAAUAUUGUUAUUUAUAAUGCCAUGUCACUACUCUACUUCAUUCUCAUGACAUCGUUAUAAAAUGCUAUGAUGACUGUAAUCCACCGUGGAUAUGUUAGUACUUGGUGUUGUCAUGUUCUUUAUGUUGUAGUGGUUCACUUGAGAAGCUCGAUAUUUUAUUAAAGCAUUUGUAUGAUGUAUGCUCAUUGUUGCAUUCAUGUUCAUGAUGAUGGAGAAGGAAAUAAAAUGACUUAAUGAUAACAAAACUCCUCCGUCAUUGAUGGGAUUGAGUAAUAGUGCCACCAAAUCGAACUUUUCCAGUGCAGCCACAUUUGCCUUUAUGGGAAGGCCUUAAUACGAUCUAUUGUCGUGCCUCUCAUUGGUGCCUCCAACGAGGGAAGGUUAUGGGCGCACGCUACCCUGAUCAGGCAGGCAGACAUAAGCCUUGUGUGCCCGAUGUUGUUGUUAUGGUACCGGGUCCCCAUGUGGGAUCGUUUAUGUUUUUGCCACGACGGUGGUCGUUGUGUCUUUGGUAGUCACGGGGCCACCCAGGACUAGCCCAGUGGGGAGUCAGUCGGAGUGGCCGGGAGAGUGUCAUGACCAUAGGUCGGUUUCAUCGAUAUGCCGUUGGUCCACACGAAUGGGUUGACGAGGCCAUCGGUUCCGUGGUGUGGGUACAGUGCGCUACCUCUGCAGAGUGUUUAUAAAGUCUAUCGAUAGCAACACAGUUCGUAGUAGGUCACACUAUUGGGUCUUGGUCGGAAUGGAGGAUAAACCUGAAAUAAUUAAGCUGAGUAAUGUGGUAACAAGAAUGUGGUGACUUGGACUAUGAGAUAGUCGUGAGAAGUCACGGAAAUGCUUGGAUAUGAUCAUGAGCCCAGGUCUCGGUGAGUGUUGGAGCCCAAGUGUUGGUCAUGAUUGUGAUCGCCGGAAGGAUCACCGUUUAAGGCCAAAUAUUGGUCGUGGUUGUGAUCACCGGAAAGAUCACGAGAUAUCUCUAGUUAAGACCUUGAGGUUGGUACAUUUGUGAUCCAUGAGUGAUCACCGUUCGGUUGCGAGGCAAUCCGUUGGUAAGAGAGUCCGAGGGACUCGGUGCACAAGUUUGGUUGCAUUGCAUGAGUAGUAAGUUUUUAUUUGCAUUUAAAGAACCAUGGGAGAACAUGAGAUGGUUGCAUGAUGGUAGCAUGUUAUGUCUGCAUUGGAUAUGAUUGAUAGCUUAUUUUCAGCAUAGUUUCAGGAUGCCAUGCUAUGUUUGGAUUGAGUAUAUGCCAUGUUUUGAUUGAACUCGUGCCAUGCUUAGAUUAUGUCAUGAUCAAGAUGCUAUGCUAUGCCAGGUUUUGCCGUUGCCAUGUUAGAAGUAAAUUUGAUAUGCCAUGUUAUUUCCAUGUUAGUAGAUGCUAUGAUGUUGUUCAUGCUCAGUUGAUCUAUAUCAUGCCAUGUUUAGUAAUUGAUAUGAGAUAGGUUGAUGCAUACGCUUGGUUCCUGCUUUGUCUUCUGUUUGUUUGGAUGCUAUGUAUUUGGUUGUCUUGCAAGUACAUUCAAUAUACUGACCUGGCGUGUCAUGCCAGUUUUGUAGGUCGUGCUCGAAAUUUCGUUGUUUCGUCAUGCUAGGCCGUAAUCUUGUCAGUCCUGUGAGUUGUGGAGCCCAGCCAGAGUGAUAUGCUGCCAAGACUUCCGCCGCCAUUUAAAUAGACUUUUGCUGUCAUGUAAAUAGCCUUAGGGCUAUGCUAGAAGAUUAUAUUCAUCACUGAUGUAAUCAUAUACACAUGUAUUUGAUGAAUAUUCUUGUACCUGGAAUGUUGUAUCAUGGACCUGUCGUGCGUCACGUGUUAUCCUGGGCUGACGUGCGAAGGCCCCCUGUUCCAUGCGGAUCGGGGUGCCACAGGGCUUGGUACCAGAGCAGCCAGGCUGGCGUAGAUUAUCCGAGCAUUAGAUCACCGCUACCAUCAACCCAUAAUGAACCUAAGGGAUUUGACCCAUCCCUAGCAUCCGGCAUGGCCACUGUUAAUCAACAGGUGGCGCAGUUGGGACCGACACGACCUCACCCUGCUGUCCCCGCCUAGUUAUCCGUGGAACAUGCAGCAAUCCUAUCCUUUCUGGUCGGCCGCACCACUUUCCCUUCACCAGUAAGGGAAAGGGGCCACACCAUGCGGGCCUGUCCCGCGUAGCUGCCUAUGAAACCCCCUUUCCGCUAGCCGUUUCGCUCGCUCCUCAAUCCGCCAUGUCCCUGCAGAGAAGCUUAGCUAGUAACUCCCCAGUCAUGACUAGCAGCUCCAAAACUUCCACAUAUUACACCCGCACCUAUGCCGUCGACCACCCUGGCUUUCCACCCCUUCUUGCCGAGAUGCUCACCAAAGCCUUUGGCGGUAAGACUAGUCCCGAUUACCUGGUGUUCCAAUCGGCACCCGUCCCUCACCUUCAUCGCUUUGUUGCAAGAGUGCACAUCAGCCUAGGUCCUGCAGCAGAUGUCCAACCUUUGGUUUUAUAGGGUAGAGCCAUGCCUACCUCUGAUUUAGCCAUUCAAGCCGCUGCUGUGGAGGCUAUCCUACACCUCUGAACCAAGUUCCCGCAUGUUGCAACAAGGCGGGAGUUCUGCUUUUCCCCACUGUGGCAAAAGCAGUAAUGCAGCCUUCUCCCGUUAGCCAAGGAGAUGAUCCCGCAAUCGCUCGCCUGGUGCAAUACAUCACUGCCCAGGGGAUGUUGAUUUCAAAGAUGCUUGCCGAGUUUAGAACCAUGGACAAUAAUGUGGUACGAUUCGUCACGUAAGCUUACCGUGAGGCUCGUAAGUUCGCAUCUCAAGCUGUUUGCCCAACGCCAUCCGAACCAGUGCUAUCCUCUCAACCUGUGCUGUGGCCCAAGCCAAACAUCAUCACCCUUGACAAGGCUCUUCUCCAGAUCCACCAGCAUCAUUUUCCUGGAUCAAUUUCAGCCCCACCGCCCCAACCCAUAGAAGUGUCAGACGAUGAAGAUGGAGAUUGGCUUAGUCUUUGUCCUCCUGGUGAGCCCCAGCAAGGCCAGUCUUCUGUAUGACCUCAGUCACGUAGUCAGUGGUUCCUGCUAGUCGAUCGGUCUGUCGGUUCGUCCCCGAUAUGAGGACAGAACCAUGUAUUCCCGGAGUGAGUAGUUUCGAUUAGCGCGUAGCGCAUUUGUGCUUUGAUGUAUGUUGGUACUGUUGUAACCCGUAUGUUGUGUUAUUUGCUUGCUUGAUUUUGUUUGUGUGUUUGUUUUUGCUUGUCUCUCUGUCAAACAGAAAUGUUUGACAGGGUUGACAAUGUGUGCUAACAAGAUUCUAAUCAGUAUGACACAUACACUAAAAACAACAUUGACUCGUUCCGAGUCUCUAAUAAAAUGCGCGCUGGUGUAGGUAUAUGUAUACCAGGAUUACAUAUACCCACUAGCAUUAAAACACCUUAGUGUGAUUUGUCUGGUGUGUUUUUCCGUUGCAUGUUUUUGCAUCUAUCUGUUUGUUUAUAUUUUACUGCAUACUGCACGCAUACCCGGUUCACCCACGAGUACAGUUGAGCAGUACUCGGGGAAUGCAAAGUCACAUAUCCCCCUCUAUCUGUGCAUACCCCGUGUGACAGGUUUUCCAAACCCAGAACCUCAAAGAGGCCAUUGUCAUCUGGCCAUUUCUCCUCCCUUAUUCUUUUUCAUGAGCCCAAUUGUGUUUCCAGAGGAACACUGCCAGCUUUAUUUUUCGCGAUCCAUUACAACUCCCCGAUACAGAUUUCAACUCCGAUUCUACCUCGACACCUACAUUUCAUAGAGCAAUCCACGAAAUCUUUCCCGUGCCCUAGUUUAACUCCUAAGCUGGCGUAGUCACCGCACCUGCAUCCGAACCCUUCCCCACCACCAUCACUGCCUUGCGUGGCGCCGCAAGUCACCACCACCGCAGCACGCGAUUACUCCGCCGGCGCGAGGCGACGGAGAACCAAGCGUAGCGCAGGACCACCUCAUGCACCAUCUUCUUCCGCACCUCGAGCCACAACACCCCGCUACGCAUUGUCUCGAGCCCGCUCGUUCCUGAUGAGUAUCACUAGGAGGAUCGCCGAGCUGAUCAGCAUGCCCAGCAGUGCCGCGAAGAACAACCGUAGCGCCACCAAGAACACCUCCUCGCCGCAGGAUCUCGACUCAAUCUCGCCCAAACUGAAGAGGUAGUAGAGUGGCAUUGUGUUUGUGUGUUGGAAGCGAGCCGCGCUACCGUUUUUAUAGCCCAACCCUGGUGAACGGUGAGCUGAGUCCAGGAAAAUCGCUCGUCGCCCGAUCACCGGCGUCCAGGAGGCGAAUCCGCAAGCAGUGCCGACAAGGUGCUGGCCCACGACGUGAGUGCUCGCUGCACCGGCGUCGUGCACGUCGCGCACUACGUCUCUAGGGCCCUCAUCGCCCUAGGAGCUAGAUGCGCGCUGCACCAAGCCGCACGUGAAGUAGCAGCACAGGAGAAGCAGCUAGCCGGAGGUAGAAGAAGGAGGCUGCCAGUGGGCCCAGGACCCACGUGUCAGCAGGUGAAUCCACUGUUCACUGGGGUGCAUCUAGCAUUUUUUUGAGAGUUUGAUCUUGAAUGCCCCUAGCCGUGGAUAUAAUCAUAUUUGCCCAUAUCUCUCCUUGGGUGUACCAAUUAUCGGUGCCCCAACUCGUUCAAAUUCAACCAAAGGGUUAAAAUUAACCCAGAGAUUUUUUCCCCGGAGUGGUUAUGUUUUCUUUGUGCUGUAACCCUAGGAAUCUCGGGGACGAGAUUCUUUUUAAGGUGGGAAGGUUUGUAACAACCACAAAAUUGGGUUAUCAAUUUUUGUGUUGUUAUUCCUUCCUGGCACUCCUUUUCAAAAUCUUUCUCCUGAGUUUUGUUGGAUGACUCUGAGGCUUCUUGUCAUUUGCAACCUUUCAAAACUUGUUCAUGUCUUUUUUAGUGGGCAAGACCUCGGUUGCAGCAUCUUAAACCCUCUCAAACCCUAAUUCCAAAAAAAUUGGAAUUUGAAUGUGGCCUUUUUGAUUACAAAGCAGCCAUCAUUUUCCUUGAUCUGUUGCUCACCCCAUCUGUUCCUUGAGACCCCCUAUCCUUUUCAACCUUGGAUAUGCAAAAAUAUUGCCAAGUCCCAUGCAAUAUUUUUGAAUUAUGAUUUAUUCCUUUACUUGCCUUUCUGAGGAAUAAAAUCCAAAGGCAUAGCUAGCCAUCUCCUAAAUUCAUGUGAAUUGGUAGAGUUGAUAAUUAUGCCUAAUCCAAGCUCUGGCAAUUAUAUUGGCCAUAAUUAAAUAAGGAAAAUUGACUUUUCUUAUUUAAUGCCAAUAUUCCAAUUCUGCCAUUUUCUAAAGGAACUACUAUUUUUAUAGCAGAUAAAAUUCCCACAUAAAUUGUGGAGCUUGUCCUUGCUAUAUAAUCACUAGUUUCAUCUUUAUCUCAUGUUCCAUAGAUAAAAAUUGGGCACAUGAUCCAAUGCAAGAUUAUGCCCUCUCUGGAAUUUUGCAAAGGAAGUGCUUUAUUCCUAAUUCCUUAUGAGCUGAAAUUUGGUAGGGUGAUGAAUAUUGAUAAAUAACCCAUGGACACCAAAGAUGAACUCAAUCCAAUCAUCUUAGCUCCUAGUGCAAUUUUUCAAAGUUUCUGACCAGAUUGUCACUUUGUGAAGGAAGUACCUUCAUAGUGUUCUCAAAUGGGAUGCAACUUUGCCAUCUUCUCAUGUGUCCCAAAUCAUUAGCCUCCACCCAAAUUCAGCUCAUUUCAUUGAGCUAUGUGAGCACAGGAGCAAUUCUGGUUUUCUGUCCAAAAUUUCAGUUUGUGAAGCAAGUAUAUUUUAUCUUGCUCCAUUAUGUCUGAAAAUAGUACCAAGCCUUCUACUAUCCCUAUAACCCACCUACCCAAGAGUUUGGCUAAUUUCAUUUGGCCAAUAUUUUCCUAGAAUUUUCCCAAGUUUCUGGUCAAAAGUGAUGCUUGUGAAGCAAGCACCAAUUUGGCAAGUCCAUUUGGUCUGAUCUUUUUACAGCAUCUACUUAUGACAAAAUCAUGAGGAUUUGCAAAGUUAUAGCUCAAUCCAACACUCUGAGUGUCUGCUUGUUCAUCAUCUAGUUUCUGGACCAGAAUUGGUAAUUGCACCGCAACUAUAUUAAAUCUAUGUCCUAAUGAUCUCAUAAUUACCAGGACCAUAGUCCUUGCUACCCUAAGCCUGCCAGACAUCAAUUUUACCAUUUAACCUCUCUGGUUUUACCUCUAGGAUGUUGCCAAGUUUGCAGCAGCAAACUAGUGGAGCUUGGUUUACUCAGCUCCAUUUGUCUGUGCCCAAAUCUUUAUGUGGUAAUACUCCACUUUGGAAGGACUACACGGUAGACAUGAGCUGGCAUCAGUAAAAACUCCAGAGCAUGCCAUGUCCGUGGUGAUCACGAGGGCAGCCAGCCAAAACGAUGGUCUAGCCACUGUUGGCCUCGGCAUCAUUGCUCCAGCUGGAUUUGGCUCGUCCCCGCAUGUCCAGUAGCUCCGCCUCGUUGUUGUUGUUCGCCUGGACCCCGCCCCCCCCUCCAUUUUCUUCUCCGGCGAGCCGUGCCAAAGGUCGAAUAGUGAGCGCCCGUGUGCACCAUCGCCUUCCUCCUCUGUCUUCUUCCUCCCUGAGCCUCGUUGGUGUUUCGUUGCUCCGUGAGCCUCUGCUGCUCGGCUGCAUCCUCCUCUUUGCCUUCCCGCCGCUUCUCGUGCGCCCUCGUGACUGCUGCGGCCGGCAGAGCCUCAGCCGGAUGCGCUCGGCGGUGCCUGGCUUGGGUGCCCCUGUCUCGGCUAUUUAUAGCCAGCCCGAGCCCUCCUCGAGCAAGCCAGCCCCUCCCCUCUCCCUCUGGAGCCCUCUCAUACCCGUGCCCGGCCGAAUCCCUCGCUGGAGCCCGGCAAUUUAGCCGGAGUUCGUCCACGGCCUCCGCGCCAAACCCCUCCCUCCAGCCGUCCCCUGCCCCAUCCGAGGCCAUGGAUGGACGCGCCACUCUCCGACGACCGUCCCUAGCCUGUUGCCCCCCUCAUUCCCCCACCGGAGUCACCCCAAUCACCGAGCCCCGCCGUCCUCUAUCUCCUCCGUCGCCGCAUCUCCAAGCCCUACCCGCCAUCGUUCUACCCUUAGGUGGGCGCGGUGCACGCCGGCGACCCCUUCCCCGUUGCUCCCUGGUCGGAUAGCUCAUUGGAGCGACGAGGCUACGCCGGUGCCGACGCCCUUGCUUCUGUGUCGGGAAGCAGGGGAGAAGAAGGAGGAAUGAGGCGUUGACCUGGCCAGGCAGGCCAGGUGGGACCCGCGCUUUUGCCCCGACCCCACCUGGCAGCGACCCUGGCACCCGGCCCCGCCUCUGCCACUUUGACUGGUCCAAUGCCAUGUCAGAUAAGUGGCGGUGCCCACCGCAAAGCCGUUUUCCUGCGAUGAAAAUGUAUUCUUAGAAAGACGCGUUCUGUUUAAACUACCAGGGACCUGUUUGUAGAAAUAUUUUUAUAGAUUAGUCCCUAAGCUUUAAAUGUCCGUAUCUUUUCAAACGUAGCUCCAAAUCAGGUGAUUCCAAAGCCCAUGUCUUCGUUUUGUCGAGCCCUUUCUGAUGGAAUCAUUUUCACCAUGUUUGCACAUUCUAAAAAUGACCAUUUUGCCCUUGCCGUAAUCAGCCCCCCGAGAGAGAACUGUUCCCGGCAAAUCUUCCCGCGAUCGUUUCACACUUCUUCCCGGAGUAUUUGUCAACCCCCAGGCAAUCCAACCUCUUAUCAUGAGCCCCGAACUUGCAUGUUGACUUUGAUUGCAGCUUGUGUGUGUGUAGUUACAGUUGUUUACUAUCGUUUUCGUUUGCAGUCAUUUCAUUAUGCCUAUCAUGCAUGCUUGUGUUUUCAUGAUAUCUUUUGCCAUGCUAAUUAAAAUAUUGUUAUUGAUAAUGCCAUGUCACUACUCUACUUCAUUUUCAUGACAUCGUUAUAAAAUGCUAUGAUGAUUGUAAUCCACCGUGGAUAUGUUAGUACUUGGUAUUGUCAUGUUCUUUAUGUUGUAGUGGUUCACUUGAGAAGCUCAAUAUUUUAUUAAAGCAUUUGUAUGAUGUAUGCUCAUUGUUGCAUUCAUGUUCAUGAUGAUGGAGAAGGAAAUAAAAUGACUUCAUGAUAACAAACCUCCUCUGUCAUUGAUGGGAUUGAGUCAUAGUGCCACCAAAUUGAACUUUUCAAGUGCUGCCACAUUUGCCUUUAUGGGAAGGCCUUAAUACAAUCUAUUGUCGUGCCUCUCGUUGGUGCCUCCAAUGAGGGAAGGUUAUGGGCACGCGCUACCCUGGUCAGGUAGGCGGACAUAAGCCUUGUGUGCCCGUUGUUGUUGUUAUGGUAUCGGGUCUCCGUGUGGGAUCGUUUAUGUUUUGGCCACGACAGUGGUCGUUGUGUCUUUGGUAGACACGGGGCCACCUAGGACUAGCCCAAUGGGGAGUGAGUCGGAGUGGCCGGGAGAGUGUCAUGACCUUUGGUCGGUUUCAUCGGAAUGCCGUUGGUGCACCCGAAUGGGAUGACGAUGCCAUCGGUUCCAUGGUAUGGGUACAGUGCACUACCACUGCAGAGUGUUUAUAAAGUCUAUCGAUAGCAACACAGUUCAUAGUAGGUCAGACUAUUGGGUCUUGGUCGAAUGGAGGAUAAACCUAAAAUAAUUAAGCUAGUAAUGUGGUAACAAGAAUGUGGUGACUUGGACUUUGAGAUAGUCAUGAGAAGUCACGGCAAUGUUUGGAUAUGAUCACGAGACGAGGUCUCGGUGAGUGUUGGAGACCAAGUGUUGGUCAUGGUUGUCAUUGCCGAAAGGAUCACCGUUUAAGGCCAAAUAUUGGUCGUGGUUGUGAUCGCCGGAAAGAUCACGAGAUAUCACUAGUUAAGACCUUGAGGUUGGUACGUUUGUGAUCCAUGAGUGAUCACCGUUCGGUUGCAAGGAAAUCCUUUGGUAAGAGAGUCCGAGGGACUCGGUGCACAAGUUUGGUUGCAUUGCAUGAGUAGUAAGUUUUUAUUUGCAUUUAAAGAACCAUGGGAGAACAUGAGAUGAUUGAAUGAAGGUAGCAUGUUAUGUCUGCAUUGGAUAUGAUUGGUAGCUUAUUUUCAGAAUAGUUUCAGGAUACCAUGCUAUGUUUGGAUUGAGUAUAUGCCAUGUUUUGAUUGAACUGGUGCCAUGCUUAGAUUAUGUCAUGAUCAAGAUACUAUGCUAUGCCAGGUUUUGCCGUUGCCAUGUUAGAAGUAAAUUUGAUAUGCCAUGUUAUUUCCAUGUUAGUAGGUGCUAUGAUGUUAUUCAUGCUCAGUUGAUCUAUAUCAUGCCAUGUUUAGUAAUUGAUAUGAGAUAGGUUGUUGCAUACACUUGGUUCCUGCUUUCUCUUCUAUUUGUUUGGAUGCUAUGUAUUUGGUUGUCUUGCAAGUACAUUCAAUGUACUGACCUGGCGUGUCAUGCCAAUUUUGUAGGUCGUGCUCGAAUUGUUCGUUGUUCCGUCGUGCUAGGCCGUAAUCUUGUCAGUCCUGUGAGUUGUGGAGCCCAGCCAGAGUGAUAUGCUGCCAAGACUUCCUCCACCAUUUAAAUAGACUUCUGAUGUCUUGUAAAUAGCCUUAGGGAUAUGCUAGAAGAUUAUAUUCAUCACUGAUGUAAUCAUAUAAGCAUGUGUUUGAUGAAUAUUCUUGUACAUGGAAUGCUGUAUCAUGGACCUGUCGUGCGUCAGAUGUUAUCCUGGGCUGACGUGCGAAGGCCCCCUGUUCCAUGCGGAUCGGGGUGCCACAGGGAUUGGUAUCAGAGCAGCCAGGCUAGCGUAGAUUAUCCUAGCAUUAAAUCACUGCUACCAUCAACCCGUAAUGACCCUAAGAUAUUUGACCCAUCCCUAGCAUCCGGCAUGGCCACCGUUAAUCAACAGGUGGCGCAGUUGGGACCGACAUGUCCUCACCUGCUGUCCCCGCCUAGUUAUCCGUGGAACGUGCAACAAUCCUAUCCUUUCUGGUCGGCCGCACCGCUUUCCCUUCGCCAUUAAGGGAAAGGGGCCACACCAUGCGGGCCUGUCCGCGUAGCUGCCUAUGAAACCCCCUUUCCGCUAGUCGUUUCACUCGCUCCUCAGUUCACCAUGUCCCUGCAGAGAAGCUUAGCUAGUAGCUCCCCAGUCAUGACUAGCAGCUCCAAAACUUCCACAUAUUACACCCACACGUAUGCAGUCAAACACCCUGGCUUUCCACCCCUUCUUGCCGAGAUGCUCACCAAAGCCUUUGGCGGUAAGACUAGCCCCGAUUACCUGGUGUUCCGAUCGACACCCGUCCCUCACCUUCAUCGCUUUGUUGCAAGAGUGCACAUCAGCCUAGGUCCUGCAGCAGAUGUGAACCUUUGGUUUUACAGGGUAGAGCCAUGCCUACCUCUGAUUUAGCCAUUCAAACCGCUGUUAUGGACGCUAUCCUACACCUCCGAACCAAGUUCCCACAUGUCGCAACAAGGCGGGAGUUCUGAUUUUUCCCCACUGUGGCAAAAGCAGUAAUGCAGCCUUCUCCCGUUAGCCAAGGAGAUGAUCUCGCAAUCGCUUGCCUGGUGCAUUACAUCACUUCCCAGGGGAUGUUGAUUUCAAAGAUGCUUGCUGAGUUUAGAACCAUGGACAAUAAUGUGGUAUGAGUCGUCAAGGAAGAUUACCGUGAGGCUCGUUAGUUCACAUCUCAAGUUGUUUGCCCAACGCCAUCCGGACCAGUGGUAUCCUCUCAACCUGUGCUGUGGCCCAAGCCAAACAUCAUCACCCUUGACAAGGCUCUUCUCCGGAUCCACUAGCAGCAUUUUCCUGGAGCAAUUUCAGCCCCACCGCCCCAACCCAUAGAAGUGUCAGACGAUGAAGAUGGAGAUUGGCUCAGUCUUCGUCCUCCCGAAGAGCCCCAGCAAGGCCAGUCUUCUGUAUGACCUCAGUCACGCAGUCAGUGGUUCCUGCUAGUCGACCAGUCUGUCGGUUCGUCCCUGAUAUGAGGACAGAACCAUGUAUUCCCGGAGUGAGUAGUUUCGAUUUGCGCAUAGCGCGUUUGUGCUUUGAUGUAUGCUGGUACUGUUGUAACCCGUAUGUUGUGUUAUUUGCUUGCUUGCUUUUGUUUGUGUGUUUGUUUUUGCUUGUCUCUCUGUCAAACAGAAAUGUUUGACAGGGUUGGAAAUAUGUGCUAACAAGAUUUUAAUCAGUACGCUAAAUACACUAAAAACAACAUUGACUCGUUCCGAGUCUCUAAUAAAAUGUGCGCUGGUGUAGGUAUAUGUAUACCAGGAUUACAUAUACCCACUAGCAUUAAAACACCUUAGUGUGAUUUGUCUGGUGUGUUUUUCCGUUGCAUGUUUUUGCAUUUGUCUGUUUUUUAGAUUUUACUGCAUACUGCACGCAUACCCGGUUCACCCACUAGUACAGUUGAGCAGUACUCGGGGAAUGCAAAGUCACAUAUCCCCCUCUAUCUAUGCAUACCCCAUGUGCCAGGUUUUCCGAACCCAGAACCUCGAAGAGGCCAUUGUCAUCUGGCCAUUUCUCGUCCCUGAUUCUUUUUCAUGAACCCAAUUGUGUUUCCGGAGGAAAACUGCCAGCUUUAUUUCUCGUGAUUCAUUACAACUCCCCCGAUACAGAUUUCAACUCCGAUUCUACCUCGACACCUACAUUUGGUGGAGCAAUCCGUGAAAUCUUUCCCAUGCCCUAGUUUGACUCCUGAGCUGGUGUAGUCACCGCACCUGCAUCCGAACCCUUGCCCACCACCAUCACUGGCUUGCGUGGCGCCGCAAGUCGCCACCACCGCAGCACGCGAUUACUCCGCCGGCGCGAAGCGACGGAGAACCAAGCGUGGCAGAGGACCACCCCGUGCACCAUCUUCUUCCGCACCUCGAGCCACCGCACCCCACCGCGUGUUGUCUCGGGCCCGCUCGUUCCUGAUGAGUAUCACCAGGAGGAUCGACGAGUCGAUCAGCGUGCCCAACAGUGCCGCGAGGAACAACCGUAGCGCCACCAAGAACGCCUCCUCGCCAAAGGAGCUCGGCUCGAUCUUGCCCAAACCAAAUAGGUAGUAGAGUGGCUUUGUGUUUAUGUGUUGGAAGCGAGCCUCGCUGCCGUUUUUCAUAGCCCAACCCCGAUGAAUGGUGAGCGGAGUCCAGGAAAAUCGCUCGUCGCCCGAUCACCGGCGUCAAGGAGGCGAAUCCGCGAGUAGUGCCGACAAGGUGCUGGCCCGCGAUGUGAGUGCUCGCUGCACCGGCGUCGUGCACGCCGCGCACUAUGUCUCUAGGGUCCUCAUUGCCCUAGGAGCUAGAUGCGCGCUGCGCCAAGCCGCGCGUGAAGCAGCAGCACAGGAGAAGAAGCUAGCCGGAGGUAGAAGAAGGAGGCUGCCAAUGGGCCCUGGACCCACGUGUUAGCAGGUGAAUCCACUGUUCACUAGGGUGCAUCUAGCAUUUUUUCAAGAGUUUGAUCUCGAAUGCCCCUAGCCGUGGAUAUAAUCGUAUUGGCCCAUAUCUCUUCCUGGGUGUACCAAUUAUCGGUGCCCCAACUCAUUCAAAUUCAACCAAAGGGUUAAAAUUAACCCAGAGAUUUUUUCCCCCCGGAGUGGCUAUCUUUUCUUUGUGCUGUAACCCUAGGAAUCUCAAGGACGAGAUUCUUUUUACGGGGGGGGGGGGAGGUUUGUAACAGCCCCAAAAUUGGGUUAUCAAUUUUUGUGCUGUUAUUCCUUCCUGGCACUCCUUUUCAAAAUCUUUCUCCUAAGUUUUGUUGGAUGACUCUGAGGCUUCUUGUCAUUUCCAACCUUUCAAAACUUGUUCAUGUCUAUUUCAGUGGGCAAGACCUUGGUUGCAGCAUCUUAAACCCUCUCAAACCCUAAUUCCAAAAAAUUUGGAAUUUGAAUGUGGCCUUUGUGAUUACAAAGGAGCCGUCAUUUUCCUUGAUCUUUUGCUCACCUCAUCUGUUUCUCGAGACCCUCCUAUCCUUUUCAACCUUGGAUAUGCAAAAAUAUUGCCAAGUCCCAUGCAAUAUUUUUGAAUUAUGAUUUAUUCCUUUUCUUGCCUUUCUGAGGAAUAAAAUCCAAAGGCAUAGCUAGCCAUCUCCUAAAUUCAUGUGAAUUGGUGGAGUUGAUAAUUAUGCCUAAUCCAAGCUCUGGCAAUUAUAUUGGCCACAAUUAAAUAAGGAAACUUGCCUUUUCUUAUUUAAUGCCAAUAUUCCAAUUCUGCCAUUUUCUAAAGGAACUACUAUUGUUAUAGCAGAUAAAAUUCCCACAUAAAUUUUGGAGCUUGUCCUUGCUAUAUAAUCACUAGUUCCAUCUUUAUCUCAUGUUCCACAGAUCAAAAAUUGGGCACAUGAUCCAAUGCAAGAUUCAGCCCUCUUUGAAAUUUUGCAAAGGAAGUGCUUUACUCCUAAUUCCUUAUGAGCUGCAAUUUGGCAGGGUGAUCAAUAUUGAUAAUAACCCAUGGAUACCAAAGAUGAACUCAAUCCAAUCAUCCUAGCUCCCAGUGCAAUUUUUCAAAGUUUCUCACCAGAUUGUCACUUUGUGAAGGAAGUACCUUCAUAGUGUUUCCAAAUAGGAUGAAACUUUGCCAUCUUAUCAAGCGUCCCAAAUCAUUAGCCUCCACCUAAAUUCAGCUCAUUUCAUUGAGCUAUGUGAGCACAGGAGCAAUUCUUGUUGUCUGUCCAAAUUUUCAGUUUGUGAAGCAAGUAUAUUUUAUCUUGCUCCAUUAUGGCUGAAAAUAAUCCAAGCCUUCUACUAUCUCUAUAACCCACCUACCCAAGAGUUUGGCUAAUUUCAUGUAGCCAAUAUUUUUCUAGAAUUUUCCCAAGUUUCUAGUCAAAAGUGAUGCUUGUGAAGCAAGUACCAAUUUGGCAAGUCCGUUUGGUGUGAUAUUUUUACAGCAUCUUAUUAUGACCAAAUCAUGAGGAUUUGCCAAGUUAUAGCUCAAUCCAACACCCCGAGUGUGUGCUUGUUCAUCAUCUAGUUUCUGGACCAGAAUUGGUAGUUGCACUACAACUAUAUUAAAUCUAUGUCCUAAUGAUCUCAUAAUUACCAAGACCGUAGUCCUUGCUACCCUAAGCCUGCCAGACAUCAAGUUUACCAUUUAACCUCUCUGGUUUUACCUCUAGGAUGUUGCCAAGUUUGCAGCAGCAAACUUGUGGAGCUUGGUUUACUCAGCUCCAUUUGUCUUUGCCCAAAUUUUUACCGUGGUAAUACUCCAUUUUGGAAGGACUACACGGUAGACAUGAGCUGGCAUCAGUAAAAACUCCAGAGCGCGCCAUGUCCAUGGUGAUCACAAGGGCAGCCAGCCAAAAUGGUGGUCUAGCCACUGUUGGCCUCGGCAUCGUUGCUCCAGCUGGAUUUGGCUCGUCCCCGCAUGUCCAGUAGCUCUGCCUCGUCGUUGUCGUUUGCCUGGACCCUGCUCCCCCUCCGUUUUCUUCUCCGGCGAGCCGUGCCAAAGGUCGAAUAGUGAGCGCCCGUGUGCACCGUCGCCUUCCUCCUCUGUCUUCUUCCUCCCUGAGCCUCCUUGGCGUUGCGUUGCUCCGUGAGCCUCUGCUGCUCAGUUGCAUCCUCCUCGUCGCCUUCCCGCCGCUUCCCGUGCGCCCUCGUGACUGCUGCGGCCGGCAGAGCCUCGGUCGGACGCGCUCGGCGGUGCCCGGCUCGGGUGCCCCUGCCUCGGAUAUUUAUAGCCAGCCCGAGCCCUCCUUGAGCAAGCCAACCCCCUCCCCUCUCCCUUUGGAGCCCUAUCAUACCCGUGCCUAGCCGAAUCCCUCGCCGGAGCCCGGCAAUUUAGCCGGAGUUCGUCCACGGCCUCCGCGCCAAACCCCUCCCUCCAGCCGUCCCCUGCCCCGUCCGAGCCCAUGGAUGGACGCGCCACUCUUCGGCGACCGCCCCUAGCCUGUCGCCCCCCUCAUUCCCCCACCGGAGUCACCCCAAUCACUAAGCCGUGUCGUCCUCUAUCUCCGCCGUCUCCGCAUCUCCAAGCCCUACCCGCCGUCGUUCUACCCUCAGGUGGGCGCGGUGCAUGCCGGCGACCCCUUCCCCACUGCUCCCUGGCCGGAUAGCUCGUCGGAGCGACGAGGCCAUGCCGGAGCCGACGUCCUUGCUUCUGUGUCGGGAAGCAGGGGAGAAGAAGGAGGAAGGAGGCGUUGACCUGGCCAGGUGGGCCCCGCACUUUUGCCCUGACCCCACCUGCCAGCGACCCUGGCACCCGGCUCCACCUCUGCCACUUUGACUGGUCCAACGCCAUGUCAGGUAAGUGGUGGCGCCCGCCGUGAAACCGUUUUUCUGCAAUCAAAACAUAUUCUCAGAAAGACACGUUAUGUUUAAACUGCCAGGGACCUGUUUGUAGAAAUAUUUUUAUAGAUUAGUCCCUGAGCUUUAAACGUUCGUAUCUUUGUAACCAUAGCUCCAAAUCAGGUGAUUCCAAAGCCCACGUCUUCGUUUCGUCGAGCCCGUUCUGAUGGAAUCAUUUUCUCCAUGUUUGCACGUUCUAAAAAUGACCAUUUUUCCCUUGCCGUAAAUAGCCCCCAUAGAGAACUAUUUCUGGCAAAUCUUUCCGCGAUCGUUUCACACUUCUUCCCGGAGUAUUUGUCAACCCCCAGGCAAGCCAAUGUCUUAUCAUGAGCCCCCAACUUGCAUGUUGACUUUUCUUGCACCUAUUGUGUGGGUAGUUGCUGUUGUUUACUAUCGUUUUCGUUUGCGGACAUUUCAUUAUGCCUAUCAUGCAUGCUUGUGUUUUCAUGAUAUCUUUUGCCAUGCUAAUUAAAAUAUUGUUAUU
rnacentral:lncRNA from 1 species